rnacentral:lncRNA from 1 species
UGCUUCACUUCAUCUCGUGGCUUAUAUGGAAAACCCUGUGGGUAAACCUCACCUCACAGAGAGGUCCACAGUUUGGAUGCAGGGACAAGAUUCAAAAACUGUGGCGUCAGGAAAGAGUGAUCUCUGUAGGGCCAGUACAGAUACAGAUCAUUUCUCCCCAACUUUGUUUGGCUCUGCCAACUCUUCAGUAUUGUUCACAUGGGCUGUAGAGUCAGAUGGCCCGGGCUGCACAACCUUGGGCUAGUUAUUCCUCAGUGUCGCUGUCUCAAUCACUGCUUCCCAAUUUAGGAAGUUUCACAUGGGGGCUGUAAACAACUGAGAAAAACAACACCUUUUAGAGUUGUCCUGUCCCUCAUGAGAUAGAAUACAUUAUUAUUCUAAAAUAUUCUAACUUGAGAGCACUUUGAUUAAAAAUGAAAGAAGACUGCAUUUAAUUCUUCCUCUGAAAAACAAAAACUUUGUUAGACAUUUUAAAGUGGACCUAAAUAUUUUAAGCCAAAAGGAAAAAUAUGAGAUCAGCCUCUAUUAUUGAGCAAAUUUUCCUACAGAGUAAAACGUAUACUACUUAACUAUGCAUUUUUUUAAUUUCAGACAUUCAUUUUUGUGGAAGUAUAAGCAGCCUUUAUAAAGAGUAUGCUUCUUAUUAGAGUUAUAGCCAGAUUAGUAAACAGAGAAGGAGCGAGUGCAAUAUGAGGUUAGAAAUAGGAGCUAAUCUUAAAUGCCGGCAGCAAAGGAGAAUCCAUGUUAUCAAAAUGCUCCUCUGCAAAAGCCAUACUAUAAUAUCAAGACAUAAAAGGACUCAAAGGGACAUAUUCCAGGCCAUUAGGGGAGGAAAGUGGUCAUUGUGGAAUCAAAAUGAUAUUAAAUGCAUUUGGGGGCAACUUGGCAAUAUCGUGCAUAAUUUUAAAUGCAUGUAUCCUUUGACACAAUUAACGUAUCUCAGAGUCUAUUCUAUAGAAAUUGUCAUGUGUACAAAGAUAUUUAUACAAAGAUGUUCAUUGUCAUAUUGUUUGUAAAAACAAAGAAGUGUUGUCAGUGGAGGAAAAUGAUGAGACAAGUCUCAAUUCAAGGUUGUGAAAUCUAUUUAGUUACUAAAGGGUGUUAAAUCAGACAAGGUAAGUGCUCUGUUCUUUAUAAGACUGCUGUUGCCAGCAUAUCUAGGACAAUAGAUUGUACAAUGGUUAUUGUACAAUAAACGUAGGCAUUCCUUUGUAUACAGGCCUGGUUCUGUGUCUUGGGUUUAAGCAGUCCACAACAGCUGUCGUCUGCUUCUAAUCCUGCAUUAAAGGUUGAUGUUUAAUGAACUGGAGGCAAAGGUCUUUGGUGGGAGUUACAGUCUACUCAGGACAUUGUGCCUUUUUAAGAUGAGAGAUGUGAAUCCAUGAGUCUAUACCUUCUAAUUUUGUGGCACAUGGAUUAGUCAAUAAUACCUGGUAUAGUACCCCUUCCACUGGGGUUGAAGGAAGUCCUUUAUUAGAUGUCCUUCCCAGUAGACAAAAUCUCUGAGUUGCAGAUCAUGACCAGGCACCUUAUCUUCAGGGAGCAUACUGUGAAAGGAAUUAUUUACCAAAUCUUAAUUUUUUUUUUUUUGAGACAGAGUCUCACUCUGUCACCCAGGCUGGAGUGCAGUGGCGUGAUCUCAGCUCACUGCAAUCUCCGCCUCCCAGGUUCAAGGGAUUCUUCUGCCUCACCCUCCCAAGUAGCUGGAACUAGAGGUGCGUGCCACUACACCCAGCUAAUUUUUGUAUUUUUAGUAGGGACAGUUUUCAGCAUAUUGGCCAGGCUGGUCUUGAACUCCUGACCUCAUGAUCCACCUGCCUCGGCCUCCCAAAGUGCUGGGAUUACAGGCAUGAGCCACUGUGCCUGGCCCAAAUCUUGAUUUUUUUUACGGUAAUAAAUGAGUCCCUCACAAUAUUGCAAUAUAUCUCCCUUGAGAAGAGUUGGAUUGGUUAUGUUCAUUCCCAUACACAUGGGCCUUCCUGUUAUAAUUUCAUAAGGGGAAAGUUAUGAAAUUUCCUUAUGUUUUCCAAAAGGGGUGGAUCAGACCGUAAGCAGCUUUGGACCAGGGGAGGUGAAAUGCCUCUGUGAACUUAGCCAAUUGUGUUUUAAUUAUUCCAUUGGUCCUUUCCACCAGGCCUGAGGACUGGGGGUGGUAGGCACAAUG